GGGGCUGUAUUGGCUUCGACAGAAGGAUUAGAAGAGUAUAUAUGCAAGUCGAGCGGGUUGUGAACGCUCGUUAAUCUCACACAACAACUUUCUAAGUGCAAACUUAGUUUCAAAGGUAAAAGGUGUGUUCGCGCAAGCGUUCACUUCUUUUGCCCCAGCAUUCGCCUAAAACCGAUUGCCGUCCGUGCGGAUAGUUGACUUGUCUGCCAAAACGGGCGACAUAUUACAAGUCUGCGCGCAGUAAGAUCGUCUUGGUAGCUGCGUUAAGUAAACGAAGGCACCCUUAAACUUGUCGAAAUGUAUAUUUUUCCCUCUCUGGACCGGGGUUCGAUUCCCCGCAGCUCCACCA
rnacentral:tmRNA from 1 species